CAGCAGCCGCGGUAAUAAAGAGGAUGCAAGCGUUAUCCGGAAUGAUUGGGAAUAAAGUGUCUGUAGGUGGCUUUUCAAGUCCGCCGUCAAAUCCCCGAGCUCAACCCUGGACAAGCAGUGGAAACUACCAAGCUGGAGUACGGUAGGGGUAGAGGGAAUUUCUGGUGGAGCGGUGAAAUGCGUUGAGAUCGGAAAGAACACCAACGACGAAAGCACUUUGCUGGGCCGACACUGACACUGAGAGACGAAAGCUAGGGGAGCAAAUGGGAUUAGAUACCCCGUAGUCCCUGUCUCUUAUACA
rnacentral:rRNA from 1 species